CCUACGGGAGGCACCAGUAGGGAAUCUUCGGCAAUGGACGAAAGUCUGACCGAGCAACGCCGCGUGAGUGAAGAAGGUUUUCGGAUCGUAAAACUCUGUUGUUAGAGAAGAACAAGUAGGAGAGUAACUGCUCUUACCUUGACGGUAUCUAACCAGACAGCCACGGCUAACUACGUGCCAGCAGCCGCGGUAAUACGUAGGUGGCAAGCGUUGUCCGGAUUUAUUGGGCGUAAAGCGAGCGCAGGCGGUCUUUUAAGUCUGAUGUGAAAGCCCUCGGCUCAACCGAGGAAGGUCAUUGGAAACUGGAGGACUUGAGUGCAGGAGAGGAGAGUGGAGUUCCAUGUGUAGCGGUGAAAUGCGUAGAUAUAUGGAGGAACACCAGUGGCGAAGGCGACUCUCUGGUCUGUAACUGACGCUGAGGCUCGAAAGCGUGGGAAGCAAGCAGGAUUAGAUACCCCAGUAGUC
rnacentral:rRNA from 1 species